rnacentral:rRNA from 1 species
UACGUAGGGUGCAAGCGUUGUCCGGAAUUAUUGGGCGUAAAGAGCUCAUAGGCGGUCUGUCGCGUCGGCUGUGAAAACUCGGGGCUCAACCCCGAGCCUGCAGUCGAUACGGGCAGACUAGAGUCCGGCAGGGGAGACUGGAAUUCCUGGUGUAGCGGUGAAAUGCGCAGAUAUCAGGAGGAACACCGGUGGCGAAGGCGGGUCUCUGGGCCGGAACUGACGCUGAGGAGCGAAAGCGUGGGGAGCGAACAGG